rnacentral:rRNA from 1 species
CAAGGAGGCAGCAGGCGCGCAAAUUACCCCACUCCCGGAACGGGGAGGUAGUGACGAAAAAUAACAAUACGGGACUCUUUUGAGACCCCGUAAUUGGAAUGAGUACACUCUAAAUCCUUUAACGAGGAUCAAUUGGAGGGCAAGUCUGGUGCCAGCAGCUGCGGUAAUUCCAGCUCCAAUAGCGUAUAUUAAAGUUGUUGCGGUUAAAAAGCUCGUAGUUGGAUCUCAGCUCGAGACGGAUGGUCCGCCUACCGGUGGUUACUGUCUGUUCUCAGCAUUCAGCCGGUUUCUCUUGAUGAUCUUCACCGGUUGUCUUGGGUGACCGGCAAGUUUACUUUGAAAAAAUUAGAGUGCUCAAAGCAGGCGUGAAAGCCUGAAUAAUGGUGCAUGGAAUAAUGGAAUAGGACCUCGGUUCUAUUUUGUUGGUUUUCGGAACACGAGGUAAUGAUUAAGAGGGACAGACGGGGGCAUUCGUAUUGCGACGCUAGAGGUGAAAUUCUUGGACCGUCGCAAGACGAACUACUGCGAAAGCAUUUGCCAAGAAUGUUUCCAUUAAUCAAGAACGAAAGUUAGAGGUUCGAAGGCGAUCAGAUACCGCCCUAGUUCUAACCAUAAACGAUGCCAGCCAGCGAUCCGGCUGUGUUCCUCAAAUGACACGCCGGGCAGCUUCCGGGAAACCAAAGCUUUUGGGUUCCGGGGGAAUAG